GACGAACGCUGGCGGCGUGCUUAACACAUGCCAGUCGAACGGGAUUUAGUAGACAGAAGCCUCGGCUAAAGAUUACUAAUGAGAGUGGCGAACGGGUGAGUAACGCGUGAGCAACCUGCCUAUGACAGUGGGAUAGCCUCGGGAAACCGGGAUUAAUACCGCAUAAAAUCGUAGAAACACAUGUUUUAACGGUCAAAGAUUUAUCGGUCAUAGAUGGGCUCGCGUCUGAUUAGCUAGUUGGUGAGAUAACAGCCCACCAAGGCGACGAUCAGUAGCCGGUCUGAGAGGAUGAACGGCCACAUUGGAACUGAGACACGGUCCAAACUCCUACGGGAGGCAGCAGUGGGGAAUAUUGCACAAUGGGGGAAACCCUGAUGCAGCGACGCCGCGUGAACGAAGAAGGUAUUCGUAUCGUAAAGUUCUGUCCUAUGGGAAGAUAAUGACAGUACCAUAGAAGAAAGCGCCGGCUAAAUACGUG
rnacentral:rRNA from 1 species